ACGACCUUACUUGAACAGGAUCUGUUCUAUAGGCUCGUACCUCUGUAUCCUUGAUUUCUAAGGAGACAGGCCCUAUAUCCUGGUUGAUGAACCAUGACCGUGCGACCAGAGCGUGAUUAACGGCUAAGAUCAUCUCUAGAUGUAUCCGGUGCUGCAGAGGAUCGUUACCCGGCUCGGUCUAAACCUUGCAGGGAGGUUGCACGGCGGUCUGACAGGCU
rnacentral:snoRNA from 1 species